UCUAUCUCCAAGCUCUAACUUUCAUGAUUUUCUCAUUAAUUAUUUUCUGCAUACUUUCCAAUCCUGGUCACACUGAAAAAGCAUAAAGAUAGCUUCAUAAAAUUGGGAUAUCCCUUUGAACCACUCUUUUCUAGUAUAGAUCUAUUUAUUAUUAUGUUCUAUUUCAUAUAUAGAUCUGAUGUACAAGUCCCUCUCUAUUAAUCCAAACAUUAACCCUAUUUUUUAACAGUGCCGAUAAGCAGCAGCACUCCUUGAAACCCACUGACCAUGAUGAUGAUGCAGAUUGGCCAAAAAUGAGGUGUAAUUUUAGAGUACCAUGUGAUUUGGAGUGCUCAGGGAGAACGGAUGGAUCGAUGCUUCCACAAACUGACUGACGAAAUCAGCACGAGGUCUCGGGAAGGCUGGAAAACCCCCAAAAUAAAGUCUCUGAUACGAGAGUGGGAUCUGGCCAACUAAUGCCCCGAAGGACCGACGAAGACGUUUCGGUUUUGGUUACGGAUUGCUGGUUAUUCAUCACGGCCCUGCGACAUAAUCAACCGGACCCGGACCCGGACGGCAUGAUUUAGUGAUAGAGUGGCGGUGUUGCAUCAAGUCCGGCCGGCUGGAAUGGUCGCCAAAGAAACAAUAUCCAACUAUCCAUAUAUCGAUUGCCGCCGUCAUAAUUCCGUCGCCGCAGUGUCAUAAAAACCCAGUCCGCCAAGAAGAGGUUCUCUAUAACGAGUACACUGAGAAAAAAUCAAGUAAAGACUUUUAAUAUUAAUAGUUCAUAAGGGGAUAUCUACUAUAAACACUUGUUGAAAGUAGAAUUAACAAAAAUAAAGUUUUAGUAGCAAGACUAUAUACUUUCUCCACUUAUUUUUGUCAGUGCAUCUAUAUUCCACACAUAAGGAUAUUAUCUACCUGCCGAGGAUAUGCGGCGCGUGCGCUAAUAUACCUCCAUAUACCAAAUGAUGACCAGAC